rnacentral:lncRNA from 1 species
GCACAAACCCACAAUGAUCGUUCAGCAAGUAGCUGCAAUGGUAAGCGCCAUGCAAAGACGGGAGUUGGUCUUGUUACAAAGGAAUUAGAAGAUGCAAGUGUACCUGAUGGAGAGGUAAACAGUGCUGAAGUAGAGAAUUUGAGCCUCAGAAUAAGAGAGCUGGAAGAGUCAGAGUUAAAACUGAAAAAUGUGUUAGAGGACUACGUGGAAUCAGAUUCUACACUAAGAAAUAGGGUGAAAGAGCUGGAACUGUCAAACAAAACACUUCUGGCGACGACUGACCAAUUAAAUGCGAAGGUGCACCAGGCUGAAAAUGCAAAUGUGCGGGUUAAAGGGAGACUGCAAGACAUUCAGGAGGAGCUGGUGAACUUAGUAAGAAGGAUAUUGUUUCAAAUGACCUAGUUUAGCUUCUCUUUAUGGUAACAACUUAUAAAU